CCCAGCAGAUCCACCUUGGGGAUCUCAAACUGUGGCCAGUCUGCACUGGCUGGAUGCAGAAUGAAAGCGGCGGGCUUUUAGAAAACUCUAAUAAAACCUUUGAUUAUACAUAAGGUAAAAAAAAAAAAAAAAAAAAAAAAAGUGAUCCUGCCUGCUCCCCGGCUCUGUGCUUUGCCUAAAUUUACUUCCCUGGAAUACGCUGGAGUUUGAUCUUUGAGAAAUGAUAUAUAAAAAGCCCACAUGUAAAAACUUAACUGUUCCAGCGAUAGGAUCAUAAUCUGCCUUUGAUCCUGUAAAUUGUUGAACCACAACUCUAUUCGUUGCCCAAGGACUGCAGGAAAUGUACGCGGGGUUAUGCAAAUCCCUAGGAGAGGGAAUGUUUUGCAGGAAGCGGGGGAAGAUGGCUCUUGCCGCAGCUGUCAGUCUCUGGAUGGCAGCUGAAUAGUUUGGCAGUCCCCGCUCUCUCCUGUGUCACCCCGCUGCCAGUUCCCACGGCUCCGACCCCUCUCUGCUCACCGUCCAGUUGUGCAAGUCUGCAGCGGCGAGCUUUUUUCAGAUCUCCCCCUGCGUGUGCUGGUGGCAUUUACAGGCAGAGUCUGCAAGCUCGGUCCUUCGUCUGCAUUCUUCUCCGAGCCACCACUGUGAGUGCUGUGUUCAUGUUUUGCCUCUAAAUCCCCACGACUUUUGCCGGCUGGGGAUGUUUGCAUGGGGUGAUAGGAGUUUUCUUCUGAAGACUGACAAAAGGACUGGAGCACAUGAUUAUGUUGUUACUGGAUCAGUGAAGAGAACCAUGAAAAACACAAUUACCAGGAAGCCCUGUUCCUUAGCUCACCUCUUUGUCUCACUGCGAAUGGGGCAUGUGACUCACGGAGCAAUAGAGGACCGGCUGUAAUCUCACGCACUACCGAGAAGGGUGCUGUCCUCCGAUGGGACCCAAGCGUGGGAAAGCCUGACUGCCGGCUGGAAGGGCCAGUCAUGUCAUGUUUUGCAGCUGGCAUCCAAAUGCAUCCUGAUGAAUCAAGUGAGAGCAGCUACCUUCUCCUGCCACAACCGUGGCCAAGCUGCCACGUAGAAGAGGGGCUGUAAAAACCUCCCCGCAUGCAAAAGCACAGGGAAGGGAUGAUGUUGUGAAUGAGCUUACUGUGACAGCACAGAAAUGUUUUAUAGGUCAAUGGCAUAGCAUCAGACUAAAGGGAGAGGGGAAGAGUAUCUUUCAGCUGUGAGUGCUGGUCUCAGGUUUGCACAGUGCAGGACCAUGGUUAGUGGGCCUGACCCGACCCCCUUAUGUGAUGCAUGGUGGGAAAAGAGAAAUUCUCUUGCUCUCUGCACUCCAAAUCACGUAUAAACCUAUGACCUCAAUGACAAAUACCAGUAGCAGCAGAGCAGCCAAUAUUUUUAUCAUUAAUUGCUAUCAAAAAUAUCAGCUUAAAGUCAUCAGAUUUGAUAGGCGAGCAUGCUCCAAACUGACGGCUGAAGUGAAUUAUUUGCCUAUUGCGUGAUGCAAAAGCAAUGUCUUGCAGGAGAGAACAGACAUUGGCCAACAAACUGACAGCAAGAUAUACUUCUGGGGAAGGCUUCUGAUUUGAUUUGGAAGGAAACACUGAGUAUAAAUACAGAGAAAGUUUACCUGCAUGAAAGGCAGGGUUGAGCCAUGGCUUGGACCUCCUUACUCUGCUGGAGAACAGUGUGAAUCGUACUUUCUAUUUUACUCUCUUUGAGCUGUUCUCAUUACAAAAAGGUACCAGACACCUCAGAAAGUUUUUUAAGUAAUAAAGCAUUUUUUCCCCCAUCCCUGGUGCA
ensembl:lncRNA